rnacentral:tRNA from 1 species
CUUAAUAUAUUAUAUUUAAUAUUUUUUAUUUGCUAUAAAAAAAAAAUUAGGU